AUACGUAGGGAGCGAGCGUUGUCCGGAAUCAUUGGGCGUAAAGAGCAUGUAGGUGGAUCAAUUAGUCUGCUGUGAAAGUCAAAGGCUCAACCUUUGAAAGCCGGUGGAUACUGUUGGUCUAGAGUACGGAAGAGGCGAGUGGAAUUCCUGGUGUAGCGGUGGAAUGCGCAGAUAUCAGGAGGAACACCAAUAGCGAAGGCAGCUCGCUGGGACGUUACUGACACUGAGAUGCGAAAGCGUGGGGAGCAAACAGGAUUAGAUACCCUGGUAGUCCACGCCGUAAACGAUGGGUACUAGAUGUGGGAGGUGUCGACUCCUCCCGUAUCGUCGCUAACGCAGUAAGUACCCCGCCUGGGGAGUACGGCCGCAAGGCUAAA
rnacentral:rRNA from 1 species